CUGACUGCUAUCGGAUGAUACUAAGCCAUGCGAGUCUUUGUAGUAAUACAAGGCAGACGGCUCAGUAACACGUAGUCAACCUACCCUAUGGACAAGAAUAAUCUCGGGAAACUGGGCAUAAUUCUUGAUAGAUCAUAAUGCCUGGAAUGGUUUAUGGUUAAAAUGAUUCGUCGCCAUAGGAUGGGACUGCGGCCUAUCAGCUUGUUGGUGAGGUAAUGGCCCACCAAGGCGAUUACAGGUACGGGCUCUGAGAGGAGAAGCCCGGAGAUGGGUACUGAGACACGGACCCAGGCCCUAUGGGGCGCAGCAGGCGAGAAAACUUUGCAAUGUGCGAAAGCACGACAAGGUUAAUCCGAGUGAUUUCUGCUAAAGAAAUCUUUUGCCAGUCAUAAAACCACUGGUGAAUAAGGGGUGGGCAAGUUCUGGUGUCAGCCGCCGCGGUAAAACCAGCACCUCAAGUGGUCAGGAUGAUUAUUGGGCCUAAAGCAUCCGUAGCCGGCUUUGUUAGUUUUCGGUUAAAUCCAUGUGCUCAACGCAUGGGCUGCCGAAAAUACUGCAUAGCUAGGGAGUGGGAGAGGUAGACGGUACUCAGUAGGAAGGGGUAAAAUCCUUUGAUCUAUUGAUGACCACCUGUGGCGAAGGCGGUCUACCAGAACACGUUCGACGGUGAGGGAUGAAAGCUGGGGGAGCAAACCGGAUUAGAUACCCGGGUAGUCCCAGCUGUAAACGAUGCAGACUCGAUGAUGCAUUGGCAUAAUAGCCAGUGCAGUGUCGCAGGGAAGCCGUUAAGUCUGCCGCCUGGGAAGUACGUACGCAAGUAUGAAACUUAAAGGAAUUGGCGGGGGAGCACCACAAGGGGUGAAGCCUGCGGUUCAAU
rnacentral:rRNA from 1 species